AUUGAACGCUGGCGGCAUGCUUUACACAUGCAAGUCGAACGGUAACAGGCCUUCGGGUGCUGACGAGUGGCGAACGGGUGAGUAAUGCAUCGGAACGUGCCCAAUCGUGGGGGAUAACGUAGCGAAAGUUACGCUAAUACCGCAUAAGCCCUGAGGGGGAAAGCAGGGGAUCGCAAGACCUUGCGCGAAUGGAGCGGCCGAUGUCAGAUUAGCUAGUUGGUGGGGUAAAGGCCUACCAAGGCGACGAUCUGUAGCGGGUCUGAGAGGAUGAUCCGCCACACUGGGACUGAGACACGGCCCAGACUCCUACGGGAGGCAGCAGUGGGGAAUUUUGGACAAUGGGCGCAAGCCUGAUCCAGCCAUGCCGCGUGCGGGACGAAGGCCUCGGU
rnacentral:rRNA from 1 species